CGUUUGAAUCGUCGUUGUUUGGAUAUUUAGCCGAAGGGAGAUGCCAUGCUUGCACGCGCGUCUCUAAGCAACGCGCCAUAAAGCCUGCGCAGGACACGAGUGGACGAGUGAAAUAAAUCGUUACGAUCGAGAAAGAAAUCAGAUUUUUGACAAACAGGAAAAUUUCUUCUACGAAACUCGCUCGUAAAUUUUUAGGCUAUGAGGAGCAUAUAUUUGAUUUUGUUUCUAUUCUGAGGAACUCAUCAUCCUUUAAUAAAGAUAUUUAUAAACGAAUUAUAUGACUUUCGGCACUGGAUGACCGGAGUAAUCUUCUACGAACGGACAACCCAACGACGGAGCAACAGCAGACUAAUAACGGCGAUGACAGAUAAGAGUAUCCAGGAGCGGUGUCUGGAGUCCUUAAGGUCUUCCUGUACGAAACGCAACGCGUUACGCAAACCGGCAUGGAACGAGUCGCCAGCUGUGCGACUGUCACCGCAGCAAUCGUACGUCAUGUCACGCCGCGUUGCCUUGUGUCUGGCAUCAAAAUACAAAUGUUAAACGCGACGCGAGGCCGGAUGUCCUGCAAGGAUAUCGCGAAGCUCCGAAUGUCGUCGUGAAGGACGUUGAUGCAUGCGAGAAUCGCGAUCGCGCGCCGUCGAGAGAGAGAUCAGGAGACUCCGAAGAUCCCCCGCAAGUUCCCCCGCAAACAAGCGAGCAGACAGUGCAGUGAACGUCAAGCUAGAGUUUUCACUUUCGACUGAAAUCGAAUGGUCGGAUCGCACACCCGCCCGCGCGGGAUGAGCGCGUAUGGUGCGUCGCACGCGUGCGUACUCGACGCAUUCAACCUCGUGGAAUACGAUUUGGCUGCUAAUAUUCAAUGAUGACAUUUAAAUGCAAACAAAAAGAAGCGUCGCUAACAUGUAGACGGAUCAGGCUCGACUUACAAAAUACGGAUAUCAAAACGAGAUGGCUGAUUAAGUUACACAGAUAUCACUUAUCAAUGACAGAUUACAGGUGAGCAUAUAUACACAAGUCACGUGGUAAUGAAAUAAACACAUGAUGAAAAGUAAAUAAAAAAGCAAAAGUAUGUAAAUAAUUUACGUAACAUAAAUCUAAAAUUCAGGAGAAAAAUAUAAAAUUUACU